CAAAUACUCCCUCCGUCCAGAAAUACUUGUCAUCAAAAUGGAUAAAAGGAAAUGUAUCUAGACGUAUUUUAGUUUUAGAUACAUCUCUUUUUAUCCAUUUUGAUGACAAGUAUUUUUGGACGGAGGGAGUAGAAA
rfam:Triticum aestivum genome assembly, contig: Triticum_aestivum_CS42_TGACv1_scaffold_486163_6AS